rnacentral:rRNA from 1 species
UACGUAGGGACCAAGCGUUGUUCGGAUUUACUGGGCGUAAAGGGCGCGUAGGCGGCAAUUCAAGUCAUCUGUGAAAUCUCCGAGCUUAACUCGGAACGGUCAGAUGAUACUGCUUUGCUAGAGUACAGAAGGGGCAACCGGAAUUCUUGGUGUAGCGGUGAAAUGCGUAGAUAUCAAGAGGAACACCGGAGGUGAAGACGGGUUGCUGGGCUGACACUGACGCUGAGGCGCGAAAGCUAGGGUAGCAAACGGG